rnacentral:tRNA from 1 species
GCCCUAGUAGCUCAGCCCGGCAGAGCGACGGUUUUGUAAACCGUUGGUCGGGGGUUCAAAUCCCCCCUAGGGCUCCA